rnacentral:rRNA from 1 species
UACGUAGGGUGCAAGCGUUGUCCGGAAUUAUUGGGCGUAAAGAGCGUGUAGGCGGCUAGGUAGGUGGGUUGUGAAAACUGGAGGCUCAACCUUCAGACGUCGACCCAAACCCCCUGGCUAGAGUCCGGCAGGGGAGACUGGAAUUCCUGGUGUAGCGGUGAAAUGCGCAGAUAUCAGGAGGAACACCGGUGGCGAAGGCGGGUCACUGGUCCAUUACUGACGCUGAGGUGCGAAAGCGUGGGGAGCAAACAGG